GGUGGCUCAGCAUUCAGAGCAUCUACUUGGCAUGCCAAAGGUCCCAGGUUCAAUCCCUGGCAUCUCCA